rnacentral:rRNA from 1 species
GACAGAGGGGGCAAGCGUUGUCCGGACUUACUGGGCGUAAAGCGUCCGCAGGUGGCACGGGAAGUGGCUGCUGAAAACGCCGGGCUUAACCCGGCGAGGCGUGGCCAAACUCCCGCGCUCGAGCCCGUCAGAGGUCGCUGGAAUUGCCGGUGUAGUGGUGAAAUGCGUAGAGAUCGGCAGGAACACCAAGGGGGAAGCCAGGCGACGGGGACGGUGUUGACACUCAGGGACGACAGCGUGGGGAGCGAACCGG